rnacentral:piRNA from 1 species
AGACUCUUGAGCCCUGACCCUCGC